UGGGAAUUUUCCGCAAUGGGCGAAAGCCUGACGGAGCAAUACCGCGUGAGGGAAGACUGCCUAUGGGUUGUAAACCUCUUUUUUCAGGGAGGAAUAAAAUGACGUGUACCUGAAGAAUAAGCAUCGGCUAACUCCGUGCCAGCAGCCGCGGUAAGACGGAGGAUGCAAGUGUUAUCCGGAAUCACUGGGCGUAAAGCGUCUGUAGGUGGUUUAAUAAGUCAACUGUUAAAUCUUGAGGCUCAACUUCAAAAUCGCAGUCGAAACUAUUAGACUAGAGUAUAGUAGAGGUAAAGGGAAUUUCCAGUGGAGCGGUGAAAUGCGUAGAUAUUGGAAAGAACACCGAUGGCGAAAGCACUUUACUGGGCUAUUACUAA
rnacentral:rRNA from 1 species